rnacentral:rRNA from 1 species
UACGAAGGGGGCGAGCGUUUGUUCGGAAUUACUGGGCGUAAAGGGCGCGUAGGCGGUACUUCAAGUCAGGCGUGAAAGCCCCGGGCUCAACCUGGGAACCGCGCUUGAGACUGGAGAACUAGAGUUCGGGAGAGGAUGGUGGAAUUCCCAGUGUAGAGGUGAAAUUCGUAGAUAUUGGGAAGAACACCGAUGGCGAAGGCAGCCAUCUGGACCGACACUGACGCUGAGGCGCGAAAGCGUGGGGAGCAAACAGG